UCUGUGAACCUAUUUCUUUCCUUCAACGCCCAACCGCGGACUUCUUUGAGGAAUUGUGUCCAGAAUUCAGCAUAUGGUAAAGCAAAGACGGUGCCUCUACAUACCAAAAGCUGGUGUUUGAUCUUAUGAAAAUGUGGAGGUAAAUAUCUUCUUCAUAAACGUGGUGCAGCUUUUGUAUAGUUGCACAUAAAUAGUCACUCUGUGUUUUGUUACUUGUCUUUGAGAUUUUGCUAAGAAAUCUGUGAACCUAUUUCUUUCCUUCAACGCCCAACCGCGGACUUCUUUGAGGAAUUGUGUCCAGAAUUCAGCAUAUGGUAAAGCAAAGACGGUGCCUCUACAUACCAAAAGGUAAUGUUUGAUUUGAGAGAACUUUUGAUCUGUCUGUUUUAGAAAAAAAGAAUUGAAAUGUACUGAUUAAUAUUCUCUGUGUUUUACUCCCGGACUGCACUGAAUCAACUCCUCGUGGAGACCUGGGUCUCAUGUUCCAGUUAGAAGAAGUAGGAAGCCAUCGAUUAAGACUAAGAAUCUGCUUGCACAGUGAAUCCAACGCAAACCUGUAGACCUGAAUCUCCUAAUACCACAGGCAGAGAUGGAAAAUGGCUUCUCUGCUCUAUUUUGCUCUUCUUUUUUUGCUGUAAAAACUUUGAAAAAUGAAUAAAAAAGGAAUAUAUGAAAAAUUA